UACGUAGGGUCCGAGCGUUGUCCGGAAUUAUUGGGCGUAAAGGGCUCGUAGGCGGUUUGUCGCGUCGGGAGUGAAAACACGGGGCUUAACCCCGUGCCUGCUUCCGAUACGGGCAGACUAGAGGUAUGCAGGGGAGAACGGAAUUCCUGGUGUAGCGGUGAAAUGCGCAGAUAUCAGGAGGAACACCGGUGGCGAAGGCGGCGAUCUGGACGAUGACUGACGCUGAGACGCGAAAGCGUGGGGAGCAAACAGG
rnacentral:rRNA from 1 species